ACUCCUACGGGAGGCAGCAGUGAGGAAUCUUGCGCAAUGGGGGAAACCCUGACGCAGCAACGCCGCGUGAGUGAAGAAGGCCUUCGGGUCGUAAAGCUCUGUCUAGCGGGAAGAACCUCCCCACGGUAAAUAGCCGCGGGGACUGACGGUACCGCUGAAGGAAGCACCGGCUAACUCCGUGCCAGCAGCCGCGGUAAUACGGAGGGUGCAAGCGUUAUUCGGAAUCAUUGGGUGUAAAGCGCGU
rnacentral:rRNA from 1 species